rnacentral:rRNA from 1 species
GAUGAACGCUAGCGGCAGGCCUAACACAUGCAAGUCGAGGGGCAUCGCGGUGCAGCAAUGCACUGGCGGCGACCGGCGCACGGGUGAGUAACACGUAUGCAACCUACCUCUAACAGGGGGAUAACCCGUUGAAAGACGGACUAAUACCCCAUAAUACAGGGGCUCCGCAUGGAGAUAUUUGUUAAAGAUUUUAUCGGUUAGAGAUGGGCAUGCGUUCCAUUAGCUAGUUGGUGAGGUAACGGCUCACCAAGGCGACGAUGGAUAGGGGAACUGAGAGGUUUAUCCCCCACACUGGAACUGAGACACGGUCCAGACUCCUACGGGAGGCAGCAGUGAGGAAUAUUGGUCAAUGGAGGCAACUCUGAACCAGCCAAGUCGCGUGAAGGAUGAAGGUCUUAUGGAUUGUAAACUUCUUUUGCAGGGGAAUAAAUAGCGGUACGUGUACCGUUUUGCAUGUACCCUGCGAAUAAGGAUCGGCUAACUCCGUGCCAGCAGCCG